rnacentral:rRNA from 1 species
CCUCGUACCUUUUGCAUCAUGAUUUAGCUAGUAAUAGUCAAGCAAAAAGUAUUUUAGUUUGACCCCCCGAAACCAAGUGAGCUACUCCAAGACAACCUAAAUCUAGGGUAAACCCGUCUCUGUGGCAAAAGAGUGGGAAGAGCUUUGAGUAGGGGUGACAGACCUACCGAACUUGGUUAUAGCUGGUUGCUUGAGAAAUGAAUAGGAGUUCCGCUUCUUAAAUUCUUACCCCCCUCGAUUUUAUCCCCUAUAACAGACAGCAGAAUAUCAAGAAAAUUAAGAAAGUUAAUCAAAGGGGGUACAGCCCCUUUGAAACAAGGUACAACUUUUUUAGGAGGGUACAGAUCACAUUUUACUUAAGGAACUUAUGUCUUGGUGGGCCUAAAAGCAGCCAUCCAACCAGAAAGCGUUAAAGCUCUAACAUUCCUUCCUCCCUAAUACUGAUAACAAGUCUUAGCCCCCUAACCAUAUCAAGCCGCUCCAUCGAAGCAUGGAAGUGAUUAUGCUAAAAUGAGUAAUAAGAGAAUACGUCUCUCUCCCCGCACAUGUGUAAAUCGGAGCGGACUCCCCACCGAAACUUAACGGGCCCAAACCAAGAGGGCAUUGAAUAGAAGACCUCACACUAGAAAACUAUCCAAAACCCCACCGUUAAUCCCACACUGGCGUGCCCUCAGGGAAAGGUUAAAAGGAAAAGAAGGAACUCGGCAAACACACUCCACAAGCCUCGCCUGUUUACCAAAAACAUCGCCUCUUGUAAACCCCACAUAAGAGGUCCUGCCUGCCCAGUGACCCCUGUUCAACGGCCGCGGUAUUUUAACCGCGCAAAGGUAGCGCAAUCACUUGUUCCUUAAAUGAGAACCAGUAUGAAUGGCUAGACGAGGGCUUAACUGUCUCCUUUUCCCAACCAAUGAAAUUGAUCUUCCCGUGCAGAAGCGGGAAUACUAACAUAAGACGAGAAGACCCUGCGGAGCUUUAGACGCCAGAACAGAUCACGUCAAAUACCUCUCUCAAACAGGUAACAACAAAUGAACCCUGUUCCACGUCUUAGGUUGGGGCGACCACGGUGAACAGAAAAACCCCCGCGUGGACUGAGAGCAUAUAUUCACACUUAUUAAUACUGCUUCUCACAACCAUGAGCUACAGCUCUAAAUAACAGAACUUCUGACCAAAAAAAUGAUCCGGCAACGCCGAUUAACGGACCAAGUUACCCCAGGGAUAACAGCGCAAUCCUCUUUAAGAGUCCAUAUCGACAAGAGGGUUUACGACCUCGAUGUUGGAUCAAGACAUCCUAAUGGUGCAACCGCUAUUAAGGGUUCGUUUGUUCAACGAUUAAAGUCUU